rnacentral:rRNA from 1 species
AGUAACCUGCCUUGGAGUGGGGAAUAACACAGUGAAAACUGUGCUAAUACCGCAUAAUGCAUUUGGGUCGCAUGAUUCUGAAUGCCAAAGAUUUAUCGCUCUGAGAUGGACUCGCGUCUGAUUAGCUAGUUGGCGGGGCAACGGCCCACCAAGGCGACGAUCAGUAGCCGGACUGAGAGGUUGGCCGGCCACAUUGGGACUGAGACACGGCCCAG